rnacentral:rRNA from 1 species
GUAGGUGGCAAGCGUUGUCCGGAUUUACUGGGUGUAAAGGGCGUGUAGCCGGGCUGACAAGUCAGAUGUGAAAUCCGGGGGCUCAACCCCCGAACUGCAUUUGAAACUGUUGGUCUUGAGUAUCGGAGAGGCAGGCGGAAUUCCUAGUGUAGCGGUGAAAUGCGUAGAUAUUAGGAGGAACACCAGUGGCGAAGGCGGCCUGCUGGACGACAACUGACGGUGAGGCGCGAAAGCGUGGGGAGCAAA